rnacentral:rRNA from 1 species
ACGGCGAGUGAAGCGGCAAAAGCUCAAAUUUGAAAUCUGGCGUCUUUGACGUCCGAGUUGUAAUUUGAAGAAGGCGACUUUGUAGCUGGUCCUUGUCUAUGUUCCUUGGAACUAGGACGUCAUAGAGGGUGAGAAUCCCGUGUGGCGAGGAUCCCAGUUAUUUGUAAAGUGCUUUCGACGAGUCGAGUUGUUUGGGAAUGCAGCUCUAAGUGGGUGGUAAAUUCCAUCUAAAGCUAAAUAUUGGCGAGAGACCGAUAGCGAACAAGUACAGUGAUGGAAAGAUGAAAAGAACUUUGAAAAGAGAGUGAAAAAGUACGUGAAAUUGUUGAAAG